CGCUGAGGUUCGGAAAGCGUGGGGGGGCAAACCAGGAUUUGAUUCCCCUGGUAGUCCCCCGCCGUAAACGGAUGAGUGCUAGGUGUCGGGGGUCAAACCUCGGUGCCGUCGUUAACACAGUAAGCACUCCGCCUGGGGAGUACGCGCGCAAGCGUGAAACUCAAAGGAAUUGACGGGGACCCGCACAAGCAGCGGAGCAUGUGGUUUAAUUCGAAGCAACGCGAAGAACCUUACCAGGGCUUGACAUAUACAGGAAUAUGCUAGAGAUAGUAUAGUCCCUUCGGGGACUUGUAUACAGAUGGUGCAUGGUUGUCGUCAGCUCGUGUCGUGAGAUGUUGGGUUAAGUCCCGUAACGAGCGCAACCCCUAUCUUUAGCUACCAACAGUACGGCUGGGAACUCUAGAGAGACUGCCGGUGAUAAACCGGAGGAAGGUGGGGAUGACGUCAAAUCAUCAUGCCCUUUAUGUCCUGGGCUACACACGUGCUACAAUGGUCUGAACAAAGCGCAGCUAACCCGUGAGGGUGUGCGAAUCGCAUAAAACAGAUCUCAGUUCGGAUUGUAGGCUGCAACUCGCCUACAUGAAGUCGGAGUUGCUAGUAAUCGUGAAUCAGAAUGUCACGGUGAAUGCGUCCCCGGGUCUUGUACACACCGCCCGUCA
rnacentral:rRNA from 1 species